GACGAACGCUGGCGGCGUGCUUAACACAUGCAAGUCGAACGCUGAAGACCUGGCUUUUGUUGGGUUGGAUGAGUGGCGAACGGGUGAGUAACACGUGAGUAACCUGCCCUCUUCUUUGGGAUAACGCCCGGAAACGGGUGCUAAUACUGGAUAUUCACUGAUCUUCGCAUGGGGGUUGGUGGAAAGGUUUGUUCUGGUGGGGUAUGGGCUCACGGCCUAUCAGCUUGUUGGUGGGGUGAUGGCCUACCAAGGCUUUGACGGGUAGCCGGCCGGGGAGGGUGACCGGUGACAUUGGGACUGAGCUACGGCCCAGACUCCUACGGGAGGCAGCAGUGGGGGAUAUUGCACAAUGGGCGAAAGCCUGAUGCAGCGACGCCGCGUGAGGGAUGGAGGCCUUCGGGUUGUAAACCUCUUUCGCACAUGGUCAAGCCGCAACUGUGGGUUGUGGUGAGGGUAGUGGGUAAAGAAGCGCCGGCUAACUACGUG
rnacentral:rRNA from 1 species